rnacentral:rRNA from 1 species
UACGAAGGGGGCUAGCGUUGCUCGGAAUUACUGGGCGUAAAGGGAGCGUAUGCGGGUCGUCAAGUUGGGGGUGAAAGCCCAGGGCUCAACCUUGGAAUUGCCUUCAAAACUGACGAUCUAGAGUAUGGAAGAGGUAAGUGGAACUCCGAGUGUAGAGGUGAAAUUCGUAGAUAUUCGGAAGAACACCAGUGGCGAAGGCGACUUACUGGUCCAUGACUGACGCUGAGGCUCGAAAGCGUGGGGAGCAAACAGG